rnacentral:rRNA from 1 species
UACGAAGGGGGCUAGCGUUGUUCGGAGUUACUGGGCGUAAAGGGUGCGUAGGCGGCUUUUUAAGUUUGGUGUGAAAUCUCCCGGCUCAACUGGGAGGGUGCGCCGAAUACUGAGAGGCUAGAGUGUGGGAGAGGAAAGUGGAAUUCCUGGUGUAGCGGUGAAAUGCGUAGAUAUCAGGAGGAACACCGGUGGUGUAAACGGCUUUCUGGACCAUAACUGACGCUGAUGCACGAAAGCGUGGGUAGCAAACAGG